GGGAUUUUCUUUUAUUUUUAAUUGAAAAAAAUAUGAUUAAUAGGUACAAAAAAUAAAUCCUCUUUUGCAACUCAGAACUCACUAUUCACUAUGCGUCUUGACACAUGUAAGAAGGAACGUU
ensembl:snoRNA